rfam:Cavia porcellus supercont2_70 genomic scaffold, whole genome shotgun sequence.
GGGGAUUUAGCUCAGCGGCAUAAGCACCUGCCUUGCAAGCAGGUGGUCGUGACUUCGAUCCCUG